UUCAAACUUUAUGCGAGCUUCACAUGCAGGUGGUCCAGCUGCUGUCGGGCCACCGCGUCCAGGACCUCCACCUGUUCUUCCGCCGCCUGGAAUGCGUGGUCCCGGAGGUCCAGCAGUUUUUGGGCCACCGCGUCCAGGAUCUCCACCUUUCCUUCGACCGCCUGGAAUGAGUGGACCUGGAGGUCCAACAGCAGCGGGGCCACGGCGCCCAGCACCUCCUCCAGGCUUUCCACCGCCAGCAAUAGCUGGU